GCCUCCGUGGCGCAAUUGUCUAGCGCGUUCAGCUGAUAACCGAAAGGUUGGUUGUUCGAUCCCACCCGGGGGCA